UCGGUGCCUUGGUCAAAGAUGUUUGGCAUCUUGGAGAAGGGAAAGAGAAGUGAUCUCAAUAUAGAAGAUUAUUCAUUAGGACAAUGUAGUUUAGAACAGGUGUUCCUGUUAUUUACUAAACAUGAAAAUAGUACAUGAUUUAGUUCCCUUAAGAGAUGCGUCAGUGCCUUUGCUCUGUGUUAUUUUCUCAUUGUGAUAAUAUAUUACUUUUAGUUAUUAAUAAGAUUCCUCAUUGGGGCACUACCGUUUAAAGAAACCAAUAAAGGAUGAUGUGUCGGUUUUUAAUCAAAA
rnacentral:lncRNA from 1 species